UUCCAACUACACAAGAGAAAUGGGAUUAAGAAAUAGAGAGGAUGGAUAGAAGGGAGGUAGAGAGAGGGAGAGAAAGAUUACGACAGUCACCUGAGUCUGGGAAAAUUAUCAGUUAAGUCUACUCUUUUUGAUAAUAUAAGGAGGAUACAAGUUUUCUUGUAUUGGUUGGUUCUCUAAUUCUCGUCCUGUCCAGCAUACGUUGUUGAUUAAUGACCUUUUCUCUGUCAGCAUUACAAGCUUUCAAUUCUUCCUAAAUGGUUUUACGACUUUUGCUUCAAGUCUGUCGAGCUUUAGGAGGAGUAUUAAGUAUAUGAUUAUAGCUAAAGGAUGUAGAGCUCACUU